UUAGAUUCAGUCGAGAGAGCGAUGAGAGAGAAGGCGAAGAGAGAGAGGGGAGAGAAGAGAGAGAAAUUUUGAAUCAUAUCAUGUAAAAUGAAAAAAUAAAAGGUUCAGCAAAGCACUAAUGUAACAAUAUCGAAAUUCCUUACUAUAUAAUAGGAGAGGGGAGAUAAACAAAAAUGAAAAAGAUGAAGAAAAAGGAAAGAAUGGGAAAAAAAUGUCAGUCCAAUGGGUAUGAAAUGUAAUUCUAAACUGAUUGUUGAUAUCUUAGAAAGCAAGUUCAAUCCUCCUUGGCACAUAAUCUGAGACAUAAAAUUAUCAAGAAC
rnacentral:lncRNA from 1 species